rnacentral:rRNA from 1 species
GACGAACGCUGGCGACGUGCUUAACACAUGCAAGUCGAACGGAAAGGCCCUGCUUUUGCGGGGUGCUCGAGUGGCGAACGGGUGAGUAACACGUGAGUAACCUGCCCUUGACUUUGGGAUAACUUCAGGAAACUGGGGCUAAUACCGGAUAGGAGCUCCUGCUGCAUGGUGGGGGUUGGAAAGUUUCGGCGGUUGGGUCUGGACUCGCGGCUUAUGAGCUUGAUGGUGGGGUAGUGGCUUACCACGGCUUCGACGGGUAGCCGGCCUGGGAGGGGGACCGGGCACAUUGGGCCUGAGGGAGGACCCGGAGGGCUACGGUCGGCAGCGGUGGGAAAUAUUGCGCAAUGGGCCGAAGCCGGAGGCAGCAACGUCGCGUGCGGAAUGACGUCUUUCUAGUUAGAAACCGCUUUCGCCUGUGACGAAGCGUGAGUGACGGUAAUGAGUAAAGAAGCACCGGCUAACUACGUG